rnacentral:rRNA from 2 species
GGUCAGGACGAACGCUGGCGGCGUGCCUAAUACAUGCAAGUCGAGCGGACAGAUGGGAGCUUGCUCCCUGAAGUCAGCGGCGGACGGGUGAGUAACACGUGGGCAACCUGCCUGUAAGACUGGGAUAACUCCGGGAAACCGGGGCUAAUACCGGAUAAUUCUUUCCCUCACAUGAGGGAAAGCUGAAAGAUGGUUUCGGCUAUCACUUACAGAUGGGCCCGCGGCGCAUUAGCUAGUUGGUGAGGUAACGGCUCACCAAGGCAACGAUGCGUAGCCGACCUGAGAGGGUGAUCGGCCACACUGGGACUGAGACACGGCCCAGACUCCUACGGGAGGCAGCAGUAGGGAAUCUUCCGCAAUGGACGAAAGUCUGACGGAGCAACGCCGCGUGAGUGAUGAAGGUUUUCGGAUCGUAAAACUUCUGUUGUUAGGGAAGAACAAGUACCGGAGUAACUGCCGGUACCUGCGG